rnacentral:rRNA from 1 species
CACGUAGGCACCAAGCGUUGUCCGGAUUUAUUGGGCGUAAAGAGCUCGUAGGCGGUUCGGUAAGUCGGGUGUGAAAACUUUGGGCUCAACCCAAAGCCUGCACUCGAUACUGCUGUGACUUGAGUCCGGUAGGGGAGUGGGGAACUCCUGGUGUAGCGGUGGAAUGCGCAGAUAUCAGGAGGAACACCGGUGGCGAAGGCGCCACUCUGGGCCGGUACUGACGCUGAGGAGCGAAAGCGUGGGGAGCGAACAGG